rnacentral:rRNA from 1 species
UACGUAGGGUGCAAGCGUUAAUCGGAAUUACUGGGCGUAAAGCGUGCGCAGGCGGUUGUGCAAGUCCGAUGUGAAAUCCCCGGGCUUAACCUGGGAAUUGCAUUUGUGACUGCACGGCUAGAGUGUGUCAGAGGGGGGUAGAAUUCCACGUGUAGCAGUGAAAUGCGUAGAUAUGUGGAGGAAUACCGAUGGCGAAGGCAGCCCCCUGGGAUAACACUGACGCUCAUGCACGAAAGCGUGGGGAGCAAACAGG